ensembl:lncRNA
GUUUUAAUUCCUUGUGAGCGGAGUUACAAGUUGUUCCACUGUGGCUAGUAAAUGAUAAGCGACGGGGGCCAGGGUCAUAUUUCAACAUGCGCUGCAGCCAAUGAAAGGCUCAGGCGGAGCUCCCCGUCCCAAGUGGAGAACACCUGUAUUAACCUGCAGUCAGUCGCAGGCCGUCCCCAUAGUAUCAGCAACUCUGAAGUGCACUCAACUUUACUGGAUCAGCCCUGACACACAAAACGAUUUGAAGAUGAUGCUUUUGUUGCUCCUAUGCCUGCUACUGCCAUCUUCUACGGCUUUAUCAAAGGAGGUUGAAGGAUCUGCUGAUGAGCCCGAUGAUGAGGACCUUAUCCGUGCCGUGGAUGUGCAACCCACAAAUGAAUACCAGGAUCCUGACAUGGGCAAAACUACAGGGGAAGAAGAAUCAGACCAGUUUGUGGGGAUUGUCGUUGGUGUGGCUGUGGCCAUGGUGGCUCUGUCUGUCGCUGUGAUAAUUGCAAUACUGUUGGUCCGACGCAACAUGCAAAGGCGUCAGCAAGGCGUGUACUCGGUGCCCGCAGACCAGGACCAGAAGGUCUCUGUGUAGCUCCUGGGUUCCAGCCCCCCAGGACCCAGUAGAACACCGAAAGGAGGACCAAUGCACUGACCACAUAUUUCACUCACAGGGUUAAGGGUUUAACCCCGGACAGGUUCAGGGUUUGACCCGGACAGGUUUAGGUUAAGGCGCCAUCUUGCAUAUCCCUGUAUACUUGUAUUUCUCGCUGCUGAUCUGUGCCACGCUCAUAUUAAUAAUUAGAAAGUGAUGUUUGCCUUUCUGUCAUGCUUCAAUCCUGCAUUUUUGCAUUAUAAUAUGAACACACCAUUUCACUUGGGAACAUUUGGAACACAUUAAGCCUUUUAAUAAGAUUCUAUUUAAAGAUGAAACGCGGGAGCCUUUAAAUGUUUCUUUAAAUGGAACGGCUUCUGUUGUGAGCGGGAUUUCUCCCAUUCCUCUCCGGCUAAGGUGCGUGGUGGAAACAUUGAUGUGGGGGAUCUGUUGGGACAGACCUGCCACGAGCGGAACAGGCUUAUUUCAAAGACAAACCGUGCUAAUCCACAGCAGAGUGGCUCAGUUCUCACUUCGGUUUCCUCUUCAUUUGCCUGACAUCCCCUGUUCUUCACCCAGUAGGAGUGGCAGGAGGGGAUGGGAGAUAAAGCUGGCUUUCCCCACAACUCAGGCCAGGCUCAACUAGUGUGUGUGUGUGUGUGUGUGUGUGUGUGUGUGUGUGUGUGUGUGUGUGUGUGUGUGUGUGUGUGUGUGUGUGUGUGUGUGUGUGUGUGUGUGUGUGUGUGCGUCUGUGUGUGUGUGUGUGUGUGUGCAGUGCUAGUUAGAACAUCCUGUUGCGAGGCAGUGAAUUAAUCGACCGCCAUGAAUGAUGACGUUUUUUUUCCCCCCACUUCCUCCAGAAGACAAUCUCUCCAACGUCCUCAGCCUGGAAGAUUGUAAAUAAAAUAAAUAGCUCUAUGAUGGCUGGGGGUUGGGAAGAUGGGGUUUUAUAACCGGGACAGAGAGACAAGAUGGGGGUUGGGGAGAGAUUUUUAUACCCGUGACAGAAAGACAAGGGGGAGGGGCGGGGCAGAAUUUUCAAACAGCUUGUAAUAGACCUCUGAAGAAUAAGUCCCGGCUCCGAACCUCCCGGAUCCCUCAGUCAAAUGUCCAUGGGAAAUAACAUGUGGUUGUAGAAUGAUCGUACAUAACAAACUCUGUACUCAGCCUUGGGGGCGGGACUUAUUCUUCAGAGGUCUAUGGCUGAUCACAUUCAAACCUGUUGGCCUGAUAUCACCCCUUUAAGGUGCGCUUCUGGGGUCUCCGACCUGGUCUCACCCUUUGGAUGUGGUAUAUUGUUACGCCUACGAUCGGUUAAAAAUUGUAUGUAUAGGCAUUGUAUCUCAUGGAAAAAAUAAGACUGUAUAUAUAUAUAUAUAUAUAUAUAUAUAUAUAUAUAUAUAUAUAUACAAAUAUAUAUGUAAAAAAGGUUUCUCUUUUUAUGAUGUCAUUCAGGCAUGCGCUCUCUGCGUGCUUACUAUGCAAGCUCUAUCUAAUACUACUAAACCAUCUAACCAUAUAAGAUAGUAUAGUUGUUUUACAUCAUUGCUAUACUAUGUCAUUCUACUAAACUAUCUAACAAUAUGGGAUAGUGCAGUAGUUUUACAUAGCUGCUAUACUAUCUAAUACUAUUAUGCUAUAGUUACUUUACAUUUUGUUAUUACCUGUGCUACCAAUACUCUUAAGCAAAGGGAAACAGCUGUUGCUCCUCGCUCUGUGUUCGCUCCACCUGGUGGUAAAGCAAUACCCUCAUUUCAAAUGUUCUUGAUCAUAUCAGCAAUAAAAUGUCUGUUUGCCAUUUUCAUGCUUUUUUAAAAAUAAAUAUAUAAUGACAAAAACGGGCUCCUAAUAAAAACAAACCACUUGUAUUUCAGUCUAAAGUGGCUUGCUGUUUUCUUGUUACGCCAGCCAAGACAUGCAGCAUUACACAUACAGGUAAUCUCUUAAGUAUUACUGUAUUGGUCGUUACUGUGACAAACACGUGUCAUUACUAUGACUAAUAGAGACGUUGGAAUACAGACACACACCUUCCCAGAACCGAAAACAGAACUGAUAAUUUUAUUUUAUUUACAUCCUGACGUCGGCUGAUGAUUUCAAUGUAAUCAAAAACUGAAGUUAUCUUGAAUAAUAAAAAUUAUGAUUCGCCACUAUCGGGCUGUUUACAACAUCAAACAAAAUGUGGAUAGCAUUGUUUCUGUUGGCUCAAAGCUAACCAAAUAUUGAAAAGUUGAACAAAAUAGUCAAGUCAAAAAAGAUGGCUGAUACUACAAGAACCGUCACGUGUCCCAUCGCGUCUCAAGUAGAUUCCCCUUAACGGGUACCUAGAAGCAACGUGCAUGGGUCCUUACAAGUAUCAAAAGCAAUAUAUGUGGGUCUUAUUAAGGUUUGGUUAUCUCUGUUAACCUAACUAAAGGCACACGUGUUUGUUUAGUUAGGUUUAGUAAGCUGGGUUAAAAAAACAAAGACACACAUGUUUCAUUUUGGUUUAGUCAGCGGGUUAACUCAAGACGCAUACACUUGUGUCUAUAGUUAGGUCUAAGUUAGCUAGGUAAACUAAAGACACGUAUGCUUGUGGCUAUAGGGAGGUUCAAAAAGCAGGUUAACUGAACUAAAUGUAUGUCUUUAGUUAGGUUAAGUUAGCUUGGUAAAUAAACUGAAGACACGCUCAGUUGUGUCAUUAUGUUGAGUUAGCUAGGCUAACUUUAAUGGAGGUCAACCAGAGUCCUGCAGUCUUCCCUGUCUGUUUUAUUCAUGUUGACUUCAAGUCUUCAGUGUUUUUCCAUUCUUAGGCAUGAGGCUUAGGCUCAUGGUGCUGAGGCUUAGUCAUACAAAGCACACCCAUGUGCACACAGUUGUGUAAACACACACAUGUCAUGCACACAUACAAACACACACGCACAGACACAACACACACACACACACGCGCGCGCACACACACACACACACACACACACACACACACACACACACACACAGGCAAGGAUUUUAUUUAGGUAAUUGUACUUUACUGAUGCUUUCUGCACACACAACUCCAAAGUUAGUCUACACUUUACAUAACUCUGCAGAAACUCUGUCCUCAUUUUUUCUCCAUUUGGUAUGACCUGAAAAACACACACACAGAAAAACAAAAAAAACACGCACAUAGACAAACAGGUACACCCAGGAACGCCCACAUUUACACACGUGCAAAGCAGAAAGGCAAAGCAAACAGCAAAGGAUUAAUAAGUCAUGCAGUGACGUUCCACAGAACUAGGAAAAAUGAUUAACACUUGACGCCUCGCUGUUUAAUCCAUUAUUGCAUUGCGCAACACAAGUGCUGAAUCCGGCCCGGCUGAGGCGUUCAGCACCACGCAUACCCAGUCAGCAUUCUGUCACCCGUGCACACAUAUAUUUGAAUUGAUCCUUUAGUGUACACACACCCGUCUAAAUGCUGCAUUUCAUCAGUACUACAAAUCUUCAGGCACAAUCAACUCGUCAGAGCUACCCGGCCCCAUCACUGGUAGCCCGAGACCCCGGCCUAACCGUCAGCUUCCUUCCAACGAUGGAUGUACUGGGAUGACUGUAUGAUUGAUUGUAUGUAUAAUAUGUUUGAUUGAAUUGUAAUGUCUAACGUUUGCGUAUCUGUAUGACGGUACCACAUUGUGCACUGCACUUUUAAUUACUCUCUUUAUGAACUUUGGGCCCCCCUCUCAAAAGCUUUCAAUAGCUUACUUGUGGGGAUCCAUUCAUGCAUGCCAAAGGAUCAUGCGGAUGUCUAACUGGUCUGAAUUGCAGAUGUUUACCAUUUUGGCAAUGUAUGAAUAUGAACUAAUCUUGAAACUUGAAACUUAGAAAGUGUGAGUAGAGGACCAUCAGGGAAGACGACCACAGCUCCUUACUUUGUGGCCCUCAGACGGCGGCAUUUUGGCAGGCGUCCUCCGGGUCCGCCUGAGAGCAAAUAGGAGCAGAGAAGGGGGGGGGGGGGAGGCGUCUUAGCGUAAAUGUUGGGAGCGGUGCAUUAGUACAAAUCACGAUACGAUAUGACACAACUUUAUUAAUCCCCCGUAGGAUAAAUUAGUUUGUUGCAACAGCCCAGCAGCAGUGGAAAAACACAGGAUAAAAAAAUACCAUACAAUACAACAAGAAUACAAAGUACUAAUGCAAACAAAAAUAGACGCUAAAGGUAAAUGCUAAACGAAAUGCUAAAGUAAGGAGAAGAGUGUAUAAACAAUAUAAAUGAUCAAUUCUAAAAAGUGCAAAGUGUGAACCACGGUAGGACUGAGGAGAGAGGGAGCUCCGGUAGGACUGAGGAGAGAAGGAGCUCCGAGCACUCACAGCCCAGCACCAGGAGGCCGAGGAGGAAGAGCACCGCCGCCACCACCAGCCCGGCCUUCCGCAGAGUAAAGUAAUCUGCACACAAAGAACAACACCACGUCGCAGAGCCGCCACGGCAGGGUCCUGUUGUUGCUUCAUAAAAACCCCAUCCAAACGAUAUCACCUACCAUACGUGAAUCGUUUAUCCAGCUCGUCGAAAUCUAUAGAGAGACAAGGGAGAGAAAGUCUGAGCUGUCUGCAGUUGGCGUAUUGUGAGUCUGCGCCGCGGGGGGGAUCCAAGUGUCUGUACACGGUCGUCUGUUGUUUGCACAGAGUGUGUUGGCAGGGGGAGAGCAGGUGGGUCCCAGCCGCCCUGGUGGGCUUCUGAUCCUGUCAGGCUUGAUACGCCCAUCCAUUAAAGGUAAGGUGUCGUAGAUACUCCGAUUAAUGGCAAGUUAAAGGGUAAAAGAUACGCCAUCAGAGUAGAGGUAAAGUAAGGUGGAAUAGAAGUUAAAUUAUUGAUACUCUGUCAGAUUAAAGGUAAAUUAAUGUGAUUAGUACUCGGUCAUUUGAAGGAAAGGUAAAGUGUCAUAGGUACUCUGUCAGAUUAAAAGUAAAGAAAGAAUACUCGGUCAGAUUAAAGGUAAAGGAAAGGUGAAUAUGCACUCUGUCAGAUUAGUGGUAAAGUAAAGUGGAAUAGGAACUCUUAUCAGAUUAAAGGUAAGUAAAGUGGAAUAGGAACUCUAUCAGAUUAAAGGAAAAGUAAAGUGGAUUAGGUACUUUAUCAGAUUAAAGGUAAAGAAAGGUUUAAAAAGUACUUUAUCAGAUUAGAGUUAAAGUAAGGUGGAAUAGUUACCUUUGUUGGUGAAAAAUUCUUUUUGUUUCCAGGGUGUUUGGGGUUUCAUAGUUGGGGAAGAGUUUGUCUCUAUGGAUGAAAUACAAUCAAUUAAAUCACAAUCCAUUUCCCUUAAUGAUCAUCGUUAUCUUCUACUGUCCAAGCAACAUGUUCAACUGGUUAUUUUAAUUUAAUUUAAUUUAUGAUGUACUAUUGUAUGAUGAAACUUCUGAAGCGGCAAACUUUCCCUCUCUGACUUUCUGUUUCUGAACACACCCUUCACUGUUCUAUAAUUCAACAGAAUAAUGAAGAGUGAACAGUUUUUCUAAUUACCUGAUAACAAUAGAUAAAAGACUCAUAUUCCAGGUAGCCUUUUUCAGCCACACAUGGAAGAGAAACAUCACACAAAUCCUUUUCGUAGGAAUUAUCCACCGCUACAGUAACACA